rnacentral:rRNA from 1 species
AUAGCCUUUAGAUUAAUUAUUAAAGGUAGAUCUGCCCAGUGAAUAAGUAAUAACAAAAAUUUUCAACGGCCGCGGUAUCCCUGACCGUGCUAAGGUAGCGCAAUAAUGAGCCUCCUAAUUAGAGGAUAGAAUGAACGAAUUAACAAGAAAAUUACUGUCUCAUAUAAAAAAAUUGAAAUUUAAUUCUAGGUGAAAAUGCCUAAAUUUUUAAUAAAGACAAAAAGACCCUAUAAACUUUUACAAUAAUAUUAUAUAAAUAAAAACGUAUUUAACUGGGGCGGUUCAGAGAAAAUAACACUCUUGAUUAAAAGAGGAAUUCCUCUAAAAAUUUAUCUCCUUAAAACACAAGUAAGCUACUAUAGGGAUAACAGACUAAUACUUCUUAAGAGCACAAAUCAACAGAAGUGCUUAGUACCUCGAUGUUGGCUUAAGGAUCCUAUCUUAUGUAGCAGUAAGACCUGGGGGUUUGUUCAACCUUUAAUACCUUACAUGA